GAUGAACGCUGGCGGCGUGCCUAAUACAUGCAAGUCGAGCGAACAGACGAGGAGCUUGCUCCUCUGACGUUAGCGGCGGACGGGUGAGUAACACGUGGAUAACCUACCUAUAAGACUGGGAUAACUUCGGGAACCCGGAGCUAAUACCGGAUAAUAUAUUGAACCGCAUGGUUCUAUAGUGAAAGACGGUUUUGCUGUCACUUAUAGAUGGAUCCGCGCCGCAUUAGCUAGUUGGUAAGGUAACGGCUUACCAAGGCAACGAUGCGUAGCCGACCUGAGAGGGUGAUCGGCCACACUGGAACUGAGACACGGUCCAGACUCCUACGGGAGGCAGCAGUAGGGAAUCUUCCGCAAUGGGCGAAAGCCUGACGGAGCCACGCCGCGUGAGUGAUGAAGGUCUUCGGAUCGUAAAACUCUGUUAUUAGGGAAGAACAAAUGUGUAAGUAACUAUGCACGUCUUGACGGUACCUAAUGAGAAAGCCACGGCUAACUACGUG
rnacentral:rRNA from 1 species